rnacentral:rRNA from 1 species
AGUGAACGCUGGCGGUAGGCCUAACACAUGCAAGUCGAACGGCAGCACAGGAGAGCUUGCUCUCUGGGUGGCGAGUGGCGGACGGGUGAGGAAUACAUCGGAAUCUACUUUUUCGUGGGGGAUAACGGAGGGAAACUUACGCUAAUACCGCAUACGACCUACGGGUGAAAGCAGGGGACCUUCGGGCCUUGCGCGAUUGAAUGAGCGGAUGUCGGAUUAGCUAGUUGGCGGGGUAAAGGCCCACCAAGGCGACGAUCCGUAGCUGGUCUGAGAGGAUGAUCAGCCACACUGGAACUGAGACACGGUCCAGACUCCUACGGGAGGCAGCAGUGGGGAAUAUUGGACAAUGGGCGCAAGCCUGAUCCAGCCAUACCGCGUGGGUGAAGAAGGCCUUCGGGUUGUAAAGCCCUUUUGUUGGGAAAGAAAUCCAGCUGGCUAAUACCCGGUUGGGAUGACGGUACCCAAAGAAUAAGCACCGGCUAACUUCGUGCCAGCAGCCGCCGUAA